rnacentral:rRNA from 1 species
AGAGUUUGAUCAUGGCUCAGGAUGAACGCUGGCGGCGUACCUAACGCAUGCAAGUCGAACGGGGAUGUGCGUAGCAAUACAAGCAUUCUAGUGGCAAACGGGUGAGUAACACGUAGGGAUCUAUCUUGAGGUGGGGAACAACGGACCGAAAGGUUCGCUAAUACCGCAUGUGCUCGUGAGAGCAAAGGGGGAAUUCUAACGAAUUCUUCGCCUUGAGCGGAGCCUGCGUUCGAUCAGGUAGUUGGUGAGGUAACGGCUCACCAAGCCGAUGACCGAUAGCUGUUCUGAGAGGAAGAUCAGCCACACUGGGACUGUGACACGGCCCAGACUCCUACGGGAGGCAGCAGCGAGGAAUAUUGCACAAUGGACGCAAGUCUGAUGCAGUAACGCCGCGUGGGGGAAGAAGACCUUCGGGUUGUAAACCUCUUUUAUGGAGGACGAGUGAGGACGGUACUCUAGGAAUAAGUCUCGGCUAACUACGUGCCAGCAGCCGCGGUAAGACGUAGGAGGCGAGCGUUAUCCGGAUUCACUGGGCGUAAAGCGCAUGUAGGCGGUUUGUUAAGUCCGCUGUUAAAGCCCCUGGCUCAACUGGGGGGAGGUCAGUGGAGACUAGCAGACUUGAGGGCAACAGAGGCACGUGGAACUCCCGGUGUAGCGGUGGAAUGCGUAGAGAUCGGGAAGAACACCAGUGGCGAAGGCGACGUGCUGGGUUGCGACUGACGCUGAGAUGCGAAAGUGUGGGGAGCAAACGGGAUUAGAUACCCCAGUAGUCC